rnacentral:rRNA from 1 species
AUUGAACGCUGGCGGCAUGCCUAACACAUGCAAGUCGAGCGGAGUUGCGGACGGGUGAGUAAUUCCUAGGUAUCUGCCUUGUAGUUCGGGAUAACGUCCCGAAACGGGCGCUAAUACCGUAUACUAUCAGAUGAGCCUAGGUCGGGUUAGCUAGUUGGUGGGGUAAAGGCGUACCAAGGCGACGAUCCGUAACUGGUCUGAGAGGAUGAUCAGUCACACUGGAACGGAGACACGGUCCAGACUCCUACGGGAGGCAGCAGUGGGGAAUAUGGGACAAUGGGCGAAAGCCUGAUCCAGCCAUGCCUAGUGUGUGAAGAAGGUCUUCGGAUUGUAAAGCACUUUAAGUUGGGAGGCGUUACCAACAGAAUAAGCACCGGCUAACUUCGUGCCAGCAGCCGCGGUAAUAC